GGGGUUGUAGAUCAGUGGCAGAGCACUUGCCUCGCAUGCAAGAGGCCCUGGGUUCGAUCCGCAGCACCA
rnacentral:tRNA from 1 species